rnacentral:rRNA from 1 species
UACGGGGGGAGCAAGCGUUGUUCGGAUUUACUGGGCGUAAAGGGCUCGUAGGCGGCCAACUAAGUCAGACGUGAAAUCCCUCGGCUUAACCGGGGAACUGCGUCUGAUACUGGAUGGCUAGAGUGUGGGAGAGGGAUGCGGAAUUCCAGGUGUAGCGGUGAAAUGCGUAGAUAUCUGGAGGAACACCGGUGGCGAAGGCGGCAUCCUGGACCACGACUGACGCUGAGGAGCGAAAGCCAGGGGAGCAAACGGG